rnacentral:misc_RNA from 1 species
GAAAUGCGAUAAGUAAUGUGAAUUGCAGAAUUCAGUGAAUCAUCGAAUCUUUGAACGCACCUUGCGCUCCUUGGUAUUCCGAGGAGCAUGCCUGUUUGAGUGUCAUUAAAUUCUCAACUCCUCCAGCUUUUGUUAGUUGGCUUGGAGCUUGGAUGUGGAGGUUUGCUGGCCCCUUCUGUUUGGGUCAGCUCCUCUGAAAUGCAUUAGCGGAACCGUUUGCGAUCCGUCACAGGUGUGAUAAUUAUCUACGCCGGUGGGUUGCUCUCUGUGUGUUCAGCUGCCAAUCGUCUCUGCUUAAGGGACAACUUCUGAAUACUUGACCUCAAAUCAGGUAGGAUUACCCGCUGAACUUAA